GAUGAACGCUGGCGGCGUGCUUAACACAUGCAAGUCGAACGGAAAGGCCAGUGCUUGCACUGGUACUCGAGUGGCGAACGGGUGAGUAACACGUGGGUGAUCUGCCCUGCACUUCGGGAUAAGCCUGGGAAACUGGGUCUAAUACCGGAUAGGACAAUGGUUUGGAUGCCGUUGUGGAAAGUUUUUUCGGUGUGGGAUGAGCUCGCGGCCUAUCAGCUUGUUGGUGGGGUAAUGGCCUACCAAGGCGUCGACGGGUAGCCGGCCUGAGAGGGUGUACGGCCACAUUGGGACUGAGAGACGGCCCAGACUCCGACGGGAGGCAGCAGUGGGGAAUAUUGCACAAUGGGCGCAAGCCUGAUGCAGCGACGCCGCGUGGGGGAUGACGGCCUUCGGGUUGUAAACUCCUUUCGCUAGGGACGAAGCGUAUUUGUGACGGUACCUGGAGAAGAAGCACCGGCUAACUACGUG
rnacentral:rRNA from 1 species